CCUACGGGAGGCAGCAGUGAGGAAUAUUGGUCAAUGGACGAGAGUCUGAACCAGCCAAGUAGCGUGAAGGAUGACUGCCCUAUGGGUUGUAAACUUCUUUUAUAAAGGAAUAAAACGAGGCACGUGUGCCUUUUUGCAUGUACUUUAUGAAUAAGGAUCGGCUAACUCCGUGCCAGCAGCCGCGGUAAUACGGAGGAUCCGAGCGUUAUCCGGAGUUAUUGGGUUUAAAGGGAGCGUAGAUGGGUUGUUAAGUCAGUUGUGAAAGUUUGCGGCUCAACCGUAAAAUUGCAAUUGAUACUGGCAGUCGUGAGUACAGUUGAGGUAGGCGGAAUUCGUGGUGUAGCGGUGAAAUGCUUAGAUAUCACGAAGAACCCCGAUUGCGAAGGCAGCUUACUAAACUGUGACUGACAUUGAUGCUCGAAAGUGUGGGUAUCAAACAGGAUUAGAUACCCGGGUAGUC
rnacentral:rRNA from 1 species